rnacentral:rRNA from 1 species
GAUGAACGCUGGCGGUAUGCCUAACACAUGCAAGUCGUACGAGAGUUUUUAACUCUAGUGGCGGACGGGUGAGUAACACGUGAGAAUUUGCCUUUAGGAGGGGGAUAACAAUUGGAAACGAAUGCUAAUACCCCAUAUGCUUUUGAGUGAAAUGGAUUUAUCCGCCUAAAGAGAAGCUCGCGGCUGAUUAGCUUGUUGGUAAGGUAAGAGCUUACCAAGGCGACGAUCAGUAUCUGGUUUGAGAGGACGAUCAGACACACUGGAACUGAGACACGGUCCAGACUCCUACGGGAGGCAGCAGUGGGGAAUUUUCCGCAAUGGGCGAAAGCCUGACGGAGCAAUACCGCGUGAGGGAAGACUGCCUAUGGGUUGUAAACCUCUUUUUCAGGGAGGAAUAAAAUGACGUGUACCUGAAGAAUAAGCAUCGGCUAACUCCGUG